rnacentral:rRNA from 1 species
UACGUAGGGUGCGAGCGUUGUCCGGAAUUAUUGGGCGUAAAGAGCUUGUAGGCGGUCUGUCGCGUCUGCUGUGAAAAUCCGGGGCUCAACCCCGGACUUGCAGUGGGUACGGGCAGACUAGAGUGUGGUAGGGGAGACUGGAAUUCCUGGUGUAGCGGUGAAAUGCGCAGAUAUCGGGUGGAACACCCGUAGCGAAGGCGGCACUCUGGGCCGGUACUGACGCUGAGGAGCGAAAGCGUGGGGAGCAAACAGG